rnacentral:rRNA from 1 species
GAUGAACGCUGGCGGCGUGCUUAACACAUGCAAGUCGAACGGAAAGGCCCUGCUUUUCUGGGGUGCUCGAGUGGCGAACGGGUGAGUAACACGUGAGUAACCUGCCCUUGACUUUGGGAUAACUCCAGGAAACUGGGGCUAAUACCGGAUAGGAGCUCGCGCUGCAUGGUGGUGGUUGGAGAGUUUCGGCGGUUGGGGAUCGACUCGCGGCUUAUCAGCUUGUUGGUGGGGUAGUGGCUUACCAAGGCUUUGACGGGUAGCCGGCCUGAGAGGGUGACCGGCCACAUUGGGACUGAGAUACGGCCCAGACUCCUACGGGAGGCAGCAGUGGGGAAUAUUGCACAAUGGGCGGAAGCCUGAUGCAGCAACGCCGCGUGCGGGAUGACGGCCUUCGGGUUGUAAACCGCUUUCGCCUGUGACGAAGCGUGAGUGACGGUAACGGGUGAAGAAGCACCGGCUAACUACGUG